CCCUUUUCAGUUCACCUCCCAGUUGCAGGCACUCCUGAGUAUGCUUUGUGAUGUGGUUUCCAUGAGAAGUUGUGGAGUGGAGACACAACUGUCUCUUCCAGCAGUGUUCCUUACCUGUUAGGCCCUUCACGUGAGUUAAAUGAAUUAUAAUUUUGCCCAAGAGAUCAAACUUUUAGGGAUUUAAAGAUGGCUGUAUUUGUGUUAUUUACUAAAUAAUUCAUACUGGGGAAAAUGAGUUUCAGAUUUUCCUUGGCUCCUCUCGUACAUAUACUUAAAAAGCUUUAAGUAGUAAAUACCAUGAGAGUCUUAGGCUCAGAGGGAUUAUUUAAUACAUGUGUGGCUGUUUCCCCAAGUUUUGAAAGUACUGAUGUGACAAGUUGUCAGAACUUCAGACUUGUUUGUUUUUACUUUGGUUCUUGUAGAUGCCCAGAUGCAGUAAGAAUAUAACGAUCUUUGGCGUGGGACAUUAACACAGCUCUGGGUCAGUGCUCAUAACUCUCCGUGCUGGCCUUGUUCACUGUCACGGACAGACAACUAACUAAAGUAAGAAGAACUUCCACAUUAUCACCAGCACAGGCAACAGCUAUAGAAAGACGCAUCAAAAUCUGAGCAGGGUAGAACGAUGUCUACUUCUCUUCAGUGUUGUCUGUUGGGGUGUGACCUCUCUGGGGACCCCAGAUAAGAGUCAAGCUAAAAAUGAGUCAGGUCACACCAGAUUUUCCUUUCUUAACUUCCUCUUCUCUCCUCUUUUCUCACCAAAUUUAAGCAUGUAUUUAUAACUUUACAACUAAUAAUCUUCUUAAAAAUAUUUAUUUUUGUAUAUGUCCCAGCUUUUCUUUUUUAAUACAACAAUGUCUUUAAUAAGUAUAAUUGAAGUGAUGACCACUCAAUAAUUUUCAGUGUGUGUAACUUUUUUUCCCCUUCAGUUUCUGCAUACAAACUUGUUCUUUGCUUCUUUGUUUUUAAUAAGAGCAUUGUAGCUCUGGCUUGUUUUUCUUUUUCCCUUUUUUCAUAACCUUUAUGCUCUCUUCCUGACCCAAAAUGUGAAACUUGUACAAAUAUAAUGGAAGUAAAUUUGCUGUGUGAAUUUUUUUUUUUUUUUUUUGGUGUGGGAGGCGGCACAGUGGAUAAAGCAUUUGGACUUUCAAGCCUGAGGUUCCAGAUUUAAUCCCUGGCAGCACUAGAACCAGAGUGAUGUCUGGUUCUUUAUCUCUCACCUAUCUUUCUCAUUAAUAAAAUCUCUUUUUUAAAAAAAGAAUUUUCCCCUCUCUUUCGGAGAAAAGGUCCCCCCCUACUAUCACAAGCUUAUGUAUUUAUUAAAGGUUUUAUUUCUUUAUCAGUAAGAAAUAAGAGGGAGGGAAAGAGACUAGAACAUCACUCUGGCACAUAUGCUGCCUGGGAUUGAACUCUGGACUUGAUGUCUGGGAGUCCAGUACGUUAUCUAUUACAUCACCGGGCCACUCUUUAUCUUUCUAAUAAAAAGGGUAAAGUGUCGUGUAUGCACAUGACAAAGUAGUGCAUUAAAUAGACUUUUUCUGUGGCCCUUGUCUGUGUUAUCUUGAAGGUUUGAACAAACUUAGAAAUAAGACUUUUCCAUUGUGUGUUUUCAUCAUUAACUAAUACUUAACAUUUCUGAAACCAAAGUUCUUCAGCUUUCUCAUUUCUUCAGUGAUCUUGGUCUGCCAAGAUAAGCGUGCUAAAUGUUUCUUUGCCUUGUUCUCUUCUUUCAUCGUGGUUUAUUAGAUCUUGAGUGUUAGAGUCAGAAAGUAAGAAUUCGUGAGCUGGUUGUGCACAAGGAAUUUGAACUUUUGUCAUCACUUAAUCUCAAGAAUACCCUCUAUUCCAUAUGCCCAGUCUUCCCCGACCUCUUUGUCUCCUGUGUCUAGACUGCACUGGGGGAAGGACCUGCCCUAAAUCGGCACCUACGGAAGGGAUCAUUCUCUCCCUCCUUGCAUACACCCUCUGGAGCUCUUACCAAAGUAAAGGAGAGUAGGCGACACGUGGAAGAAGGGAAGAUGGAAGUCCAGAAGGCUGAUGGCAUUCAGGACCGCUGUAACACUAUUUCUUUUGCCACUUUGGCUGAAAUUCACCAUUUCCAUCAGAUUCGAGUAAGAGACUUUAAAUCACAGAUGCAACAUUUUUUACAACAACAAAUAAUAUUUUUCCAAAAAGUGACCCAGAAAUUGGAAGAAGCUCUUCACCAAUAUGACAGUGUUUAAUGACUGGGCAUUGGGUUGUGUACUUUUUUUCAGUUCGAGGGUAAUUUCUACCGCAGAAUAAAGACUGCUAUCAAAGAGCUAUUGCCAACUACCAGUGGUGGUACAAGGAUGUUUUGUGUUCAACUGAAACUGGCUGAAUAUAUAAUUAUGUAGGAGAGAACAGUUAAUACGAUUAUGUGAUAGAAACAGUACCACACAGAGUAUAACUAAAUUAUACUCUGUAUGCCUACACUACCAUUGUAACUUUUGGAAUAAUGAUUAUACUAUUUGCCUUAUUGCUUUUUGAAGUAUGGGUAUUUUAGUGCAUACUUUGUAGACCUCAAAACCCAUGAAGGGUCUCAAAGAAGCCGGCUGGUGAAGAGCCUGCUGUGGAUGCCUUUUUACUCUCAGUAGAUUGGGAUUACCUAAAUUCAGCCUAUUCUCUGUUUACAAACUCCAACUAGAGCAGCUAUGCGACUUUGUGCCUUUAGACUCUUGCUUUUUCGUUUCUCCAACCCACCCUCACCCCAUUUUUUUUUUAAGUAACCACAGCUUUUCUGACUGAAAGAGUGAAAGGCCAGUGCAUGUGAUGACAGUCUGCUGGUCACCCCGCAUGAGGCUGUGGGCAGGGCGGGGACAGCCGUCAUAGGUUUGCACAGCACGUGCUGCACCUGAAUCUACUGGGGAGCGAAGCAGAGGGACGUGGACACUCACCUUUAGAUCUGAAGUCUGUCAGGGAAGAGGAUGGUGCCGCGCUUUUCCCUUAGAUGCUGUAGUAGCAGACUUCUCAUUCGGGUGUCCUGGAAACGUGGAGAUGUAAACAAACAUGUCAUAAUGUGGAGGAGUCUGAUCAGUUGGGGACACAAGCACAAAAAUCAGUGAUGACACACUCGGUUUAGUUCUUAGAAGGGUUUGUUUUCUUUUUGGCUUGAAUAUUUUCUUUUAAUAUUCAGUGUGAUUUUUUUUUUUAAUGGAUCUACACUGUUAACUGAUUGAGACCCCACUGUGAUUCACUCGUUUACUUAAUCAAAACUUCAGGGAUGUCUGUAAAAUUCAGUGUUAUACGUGAUGAAAAGUAAUGUUGGUUGAUUUAAGGAGGGACCAGAAACAGUUUCUACUAUUCCAAAUGCUGGAGAAAAAGUAAUUAAAGAAAAAAAAAAAAGUCUUGUUAAGUCCCAUCCCCCAGGAAUAUAACCUUAAAAUUAUUUUAAAUAAGUUCUUUUAUUAUUAUAAGGGAAAUACACGUUUGAAAAACAAACAAAAAAAUUUAAAAGCAACUUAAGUUAAAAAGCACAAAGAGAUUCUGGCUUGAAAUUCCAAAAUCUCAAAUGUUUUUCUGGUUGCUGAACUACAUAAUGCAAUUCUUCCAUUUACAGAUUGAAAAUUUGCCAUCGAAAAGUAAAGUAUCUACUGUUUUUAUGAAGUCAAACUUAAGCUGCCUCAGAAAUCCCUCCCUAGGUAUUGAAAUGACAACAUAGAAAUAAAGAGGUCAGUUUGGAACAUCGGUGUAGAUAGUCUAAAAAGAAAAGUUAUUGAAAUAGUUACUCAGCAGCACAUUUUCUCCCAAAAGCUAUCUUAUUUGAGUUGUAUUUUUAAGAUUAGAGUACUAUGAUUUUGAUCAGAAUUUUAGGUAACUUUCUGAGAGCCAGAUUUAACAUCAUGUGAGUUGUCUUUCCCACAGACACGUGGGUAGUAACCACCUAUCCUGUGCUCUACAAUGCAGCUUUCUCCUGCUGAUCACAAAAUACAGUGCUGUAAACAAACCCACAUAUAUAAAUGUUCAUUUUACUGCAGAAGUUUGGAAAUUGUAAUGAUUACUUAUAAGUUUGAGUCUUUUCCUGGACAAAUUAGCACUAUACUUUUUAAAUGAACAGCACAUCAAUUUUAUUAGCCUCUUGAUAUUUUGAUGGUUUGAAUUCUUUUGAAAGCAAAAUCACUCCCCUUGUGCAGUGAUAGCAUGGAAGUUAUCUGAGGUGUCUUGGAUGUUUGUGCUCUAGUCAGGAUGGACAAAGUUUAAAUUAUGAAACUAAAAGAUUAAAGUACAAGGAAGUCUAAGUUCAUGCUGCCUACUUAUAAGAGAACUUUAGUUCUUCAUAACUAUGUAACAUGAUGAUGCCACUGAUUCACAAGGGGCUUAAAUUAAUUCUUUAUGGUAGGACACCAGGAUUAUUAGUGUUCAUUCUCAUCUAGGAUCUUAUUCCUCUAACGUUCUUGGUCCUAUUGAAACAUUUCAGUAUAUUAAAAUACUGCAAUGUUAAUACCCAAGAGAAAAGCCAUUGUAAUGUGUAUACUGGUCAUCACGAUCAGCGUGGUACAAUUUUUUAAAAUAAACUAUCAUGCCCUCCAUGCUA